rnacentral:rRNA from 1 species
UUUGAUCCUGGCUCAGAUUGAACGCUGGCGGCAUGCCUUACACAUGCAAGUCGAACGGCAGCACGGGAGCAAUCCUGGUGGCGAGUGGCGAACGGGUGAGUAAUACAUCGGAACGUGCCCAAUCGUGGGGGAUAACGCAGCGAAAGCUGUGCUAAUACCGCAUAAGAUCUACGGAUGAAAGCAGGGGAUCGCAAGACCUUGCGCGAAUGGAGCGGCCGAUGGCAGAUUAGGUAGUUGGUGAGGUAAAGGCUCACCAAGCCUUCGAUCUGUAGCUGGUCUGAGAGGACGACCAGCCACACUGGGACUGAGACACGGCCCAGACUCCUACGGGAGGCAGCAGUGGGGAAUUUUGGACAAUGGGCGCAAGCCUGAUCCAGCCAUGCCGCGUGCAGGAUGAAGGCCUUCUGGUUGUAAACUGCUUUUGUACGGAACGAAACGGCUCUUUCUAAUAAAGAGGGCUAAUGACGGUACCGUAAGAAUAAGCACCGGCUAACUACGUGCCAGCAGCCGCGGUAAUACGUAGGGUGCAAGCGUUAAUCGGAAUUACUGGGCGUAAAGCGUGCGCAGGCGGUUAUUUAAGACAGUUGUGAAAUCCCCGGGCUCAACCUGGGAACUGCAUCUGUGACUGCAUAGCUAGAGUACGGUAGAGGGGGAUGGAAUUCCGCGUGUAGCAGUGAAAUGCGUAGAUAUGCGGAGGAACACCGAUGGCGAAGGCAAUCCCCUGGACCUGUACUGACGCUCAUGCACGAAAGCGUGGGGAGCAAACAGGAUUAGAUACCCUGGUAGUCCACGCCCUAAACGAUGUCAACUGGUUGUUGGGUCUUCACUGACUCAGUAACGAAGCUAACGCGUGAAGUUGACCGCCUGGGGAGUACGGCCGCAAGGUUGAGACUCAAAGGAAUUGACGGGGACCCGCACAAGCGGUGGAUGAUGUGGUUUAAUUCGAUGCAACGCGAAAAACCUUACCCACCUUUGACAUGUACGGAAUUUGCCAGAGAUGGCUUAGUGCUCGAAAGAGAGCCGUAACACAGGUGCUGCAUGGCUGUCGUCAGCUCGUGUCGUGAGAUGUUGGGUUAAGUCCCGCAACGAGCGCAACCCUUGUCAUUAGUUGCUACAUUCAGUUGGGCACUCUAGUGAGACUGCCGGUGACAAACCGGAGGAAGGUGGGGAUGACGUCAAGUCCUCAUGGCCCUUAUAGGUGGGGCUACACACGUCAUACAAUGGCUGGUACAAAGGGUUGCCAACCCGCGAGGGGGAGCUAAUCCCAUAAAACCAGUCGUAGUCCGGAUCGCAGUCUGCAACUCGACUGCGUGAAGUCGGAAUCGCUAGUAAUCGUGGAUCAGAAUGUCACGGUGAAUACGUUCCCGGGUCUUGUACACACCGCCCGUCACACCAUGGGAGCGGGUUCUGCCAGAAGUAGUUAGCCUAACCGCAAGGAGGGCGAUUACCACGGCAGGGUUCGUGACUGGGGUGAAGUCGUAACAAGGUA